GCAGCUGUGUGAUUAUUGAUUGCUGUGUGAUUUUCCAGCCAAUGGCAGGUUCUGCAGAGACCUCAUCUCGCCCGUGACCAUGGCGCACUCCUGUAUUUUGUGAAACAAAUCGCCAGCCUGCAUCGAAGUACUCAUAGAGUACCUCAUAGUACUCAUUAACCACACAGAACUGCAAAAUGGACCAGAUGCCAAAAGGGAAUUUUAUCAAGCCUUCCUUUCAGGUCUUAUCUAUGGAUGAAAAAUCAAGCAGCUGUGAAGAAAUCCUCUUUCUCUGGCCUGCUGUCCCAACCAGACUUCGGAGCUGACAGACACGUGGCUGGUCCCACGCGUGGCAGCUGCUGAGAAGGACUCUGGCCAGGGUUUCUCUUGAAUCAGAGGAGCAUAGACCCAUCCAGGCUCUGCAGUUCCAAAAGGAGCAGAUGCUGCCCCGAAGUUAGAGAAAGGAGGAGAAACACACUUAAAUUAUACCUUUCACAGUUUAAAUUGGAUAUAUGCUUUCCUCCUGGACUCCCGGGCUCUAUCCAGUUGAAGAGAAUGAGAUAUGAGGACAGACAAUCAGUUCAUGCCGUAUGAGGAAACAGAGAUUGAAUAGAAACAAGGGCACCAGCGGCCUCAGGAUGAGCCUCUCGUACCACUCCAAUCAUUUUCCCAGCCUUGGCUGCAGCUCCCACGUCUCUGCGCUCAUUGACCCCUGCCUUGGCCCCUUUCAACGUGCCCCUCCUCUCUGGAGCCCUCUGGGUUGGUGAAGGUUUGCGUAGGCGUUUCAGGGAGUAGCAGUGACGAAGUUCAAAGGGAAGGGGACGCAGUGGAGUCAGUUUGGGCAGGAGGAAGGGACACUGCAAGGCUGGCGUUGUCCUGGCUCCAGGGUUCUUUCUCCCUGUCUGGGUGAAAUCCCACCGAGGCUACCUGCCAACAUUCAGAUUCUGACAACGCAAAUAUAUUCGUCUGGGCGCUUCUUCCUGUGUUCAAACACUACAAUUUUGCCUUGCCAGUUGCCAGUCUCUUGUGAACGAAGGUGUUAACCAUAUAUGAGGGAGCGGACUAAGUGAGGUGACUCUGCUUUCUCUAAAUAAUAAUCCUGGACUUCUGAACAGUAGGUUGCUGUCUAUGCCAUUUGAUUCUCACAACACUGUGGACAAAGAAGCCACCGGGGAAACUGAGCCCCAGCUGUGUCUGCCCGGGUUCGUGUCACCACCUGAUUUACCUUUGCUGGGUGUCCCUUCUGCUCUGCCAGGCCCUGGCACAAUAAGGCACAGUGGUCUGACAGGCUGUUGCUGCCCGAUUAUUAAUACCUUCCCAAAAGCCCAGGAGCAGAGACAGAGAGGAUCUGUGAAUUAUGGGACCAAGAUCUUUUUUUUGCUUUCCUGGAAUCUAAGAAAGUUUCUCUUUUUAGUAAUGGUUAAGAAUCUGCUCAGAUAAAACAUUAAUUGAAACUUGUACUGAACUAAAACAACACAGACAGGGCGUGCAUUGUAGCACAGAUGGUUACACUGCCACUUGAGGCACACGCGUCCUGUAUCAGAAUGC